UACGUAGGGACCAAGCGUUGUUCGGAUUUACUGGGCGUAAAGGGUGCGUAGGUGGCGCUGUAAGUCGGGUGUGAAAUUUCGGAGCUUAACUCCGAAACUGCAUUCGAUACUGCGGUGCUUGAGGACUGGAGAGGAGACUGGAAUUCAUGGUGUAGCAGUGAAAUGCGUAGAGAUCAUGAGGAAGACCAGUGGCGAAGGCGGGUCUCUGGUCUGUAACUGACGCUGAGGCGCGAAAGCGUGGGGAGCAAACAGG
rnacentral:rRNA from 1 species